GUAAUCUGGCGUUCAUCGAAGAAGAAAUGAUCAACGAUGGUGAGAGUUAAAUCGAGGUAUUUACUCUGUGAGAUUAACGUGUCUGACAGAAGCAGUCUCUUGUUCCUGAAUGACAGAGCUAUCGCCGCAGCGGUGAAAGAAGCGGUGGCCCGCAUACACGGCGACUACGGGGCGGCGAUGUGCAGCAUUAGAUUCUGCGUGAAAUACCUGAAUACCCAAACAGGAAUGGUAUUCCUGCGUUUCCCUAAAAGAAGCUACAAACUGCUGUGGUCAGCAUUGCCUUUCAUCACCAGUAUUGAAACCCGCUACCAGAAAAUACCAUGCUUUCUAAACUGUCUGCACAUAGGAGGAACAAUCAGAACUUGUCAGAAGUUUCUGAUACGAUACAACACACGGCAGCUCCAUCGAAUGCUCCCAAAUUGUAAAAAUGAAGGUAAGUCUUGUCAUUUAAGGCUUGGAUAAAAUAAACAUGAUAAUAGUAUGACAAUGUAGUUUGUUAUAUAAUUUGGAAUACUUGUUUUUAAUAUUUGAGUAGCAAAGUUAAUUCACUCAUGUGAGACUUACAUCUGCUAAAUACAGUUCUGUGAAAAAUGAUUGGCCCUCUUCUCAAAUUCUUGUAUUUUUGCCUGGUUUCCCCACUUUAAUGUCUAAGAUCAUUAACCAAAUGUAAAUAUCAGACAAAUAAAACCCAAGUCAAUUUCAAAUGCUGCUUUUAAAUGGUGAUUGCAUUAAUUAAGGCAAAGGGUUAAUCACAACGUUUGGUUAAUUUUCAUUGAUCACACCCAAACCUGAUUACUCCACACCUGUGCAGUCAAGAAAUCACUUAAAAAUAAUCUUAAAUAAUCUGUCCUGACAAAAUCAAGUUGGACAAAAGACCUAAAAGGACUGCAACAAACUGGCACGAUCAAAAGAAAUUCCAGAACAGUCGAGAAAUAAGGUAAUUGAGAUCUAUCAAUCUGAAAAGGGCAACAAAAGCUAUUUCCAAAGCUUUAGAAUUCCAGCGAACCAUAGGGAGAGCCAUUAUCCUCACAUGGAGAAAAUAUGGAAGAGUGAUGAACCUUCUCAGGGGUGGCCGGCCUCCAAAGAUUACCCCAAGAGAACAGCAAUGACUCAUCCAGGAGGCCACAAAGGAACUCAGGACAACUUUUAAAGAACUGCAGGGCUCCCUUGCCUCAGUUAAGGUCAAUGUUAAUGACACAACAAUAAGGAAACUACUAGGCAAAAAUGGCAGAUUUCCAAGGCCAACCACUCCUGACCAAAUAGAAGAUAAAGGCACGUCUCACAUCUGAAUGAUGACUUUUGGGAUAAUAUUAUAUAGACUGACAAGAUGAAAAUUGAGCUUUUUGGAAAGUGUCUCAUUACAUCAGGCUUGAAUGUAGCACCAUAAAUUUGCCUCGAUCAGGUGCUCCUUGCAAGAUUUCUGACAGAGGAGUGCAAAGAAUAAUCAGACGAGUUGUCCAAGAGCCAAGGACCAACUGUGGAGAGCUUCAAAAAGACCUGGAAUUUGCAGAAGAAAAGAAACAGAUUCGCAAAGCUAUCCUAAGUUGCUCCAUAAUACAAGGAGCAUUUGAAGAUGAACCAG